AUACGGAGGGUGCAAGCGUUACUCGGAAUCACUGGGCGUAAAGCGCGCGCAGGCGGCUAUUUAAGUUGGAUGUGAAAGCCUACGGCUCAACCGUAGAACUGCAUCCAAAACUAUUUAGCUAGAGUAUGGGAGAGGAAGAUGGAAUUAGUUGUGUAGGGGUAAAAUCCGUAGAGAUAACUAGGAAUACCAAAAGCGAAGGCAAUCUUCUGGAACACUACUGACGCUGAGGCGCGAAAGCGUGGGGAGCAAACAGGAUUAGAAACCCUUGUAGUCC
rnacentral:rRNA from 1 species